GACGAACGCUGGCGGCGUGCUUAACACAUGCAAGUCGAACGGAGUGGCGAACGGGCGAGUAACACGUGGGUGACCUGCCCUGCACUUCGGGAUAAGCCUGGGAAACUGGGUCUAAUACCGGAUAGUGGGGGAUGGGCUCGCGGAUUAUCAGAUUGUGGGUGGGGUAAUGGGAUACCAAGACGGCGAGGGGUAGCCGGCCUGAGAGGGUGGACGGCCACAUUGGGACUUGGACAGGGACCAGACUCCUACGGAGGGCAGCAGUGGGGAAUAUUGCACAAUGGGCGGAAGCCUGAUGCGGCGACGCCGCGUGGGGGAUGAGGGCCUUCGGGUUGUAAAGUACUUUCAGCGGGGAGGAGGUUAAUACCCUUGUCAAUUGACGUACCCGCAGAAGAAGCACCGGUACUCGUGCCAGCAGCCGCGGUAAUAC
rnacentral:rRNA from 1 species